rnacentral:rRNA from 1 species
ACUUAGGGAUCUGCCUUUGAGUGGGGGAUAACUAUUGGAAACGAUAGCUAAUACCGCAUAACGUUUACGGACCAAAGGGGGCUUCGGCUCUCGCUCAAAGAGGAACCUAAGCGAGAUUAGCUUGUUGGUGAGGUAAAGGCUCACCAAGGCGACGAUCUCUAGCUGUUCUGAGAGGAAGAUCAGCCACACUGGGACUGAGACACGGCCCAGACUCCUACGGGAGGCAGCAGUGGGGAAUAUUGCACAAUGGGGGAAACCCUGAUGCAGCCAUGCCGCGUGUGUGAAGAAGGCCUGGGUUGU